GUUGAAGACGACGACGUUGAUAGGCCGGGUGUGUAAGCGCAGCGAUGCGUUGAGCUAACCGGUACUAAUGAACCGUGAGGCUUAACCUUACAACGCCGAAGGUGUUU
rnacentral:rRNA from 2 species